GCUUAUCUUGCCCUUACAGCUAUCUUGGCCACCGGGGCUUAUUUAGCUUUGUUUGGGUAUGGCAAGAGGAAGAUUUUAAUUUUCUUUCUGUCCCGACCGAUGAUCAGUCCUUUUAUCCCCGCUUGAGUAUAGAGCCGAGCGGCUCCGAAUUUAGUCCAGGGAGGAGAAAUUUUUUUCUCCAGAUUUACACCUAAUCUCGGGCUUACUUUAACAAGGCUUCCCAUUAAGGGGAUUUCUAACCCAAAAUAGUGUUCUCGGGAGGCUUGCUCGCAUUGUUUUAUGUGCCCGACAACUUAAUGGUAAACCAAGUGGACUGAAACGCAACUGUGAAUCACUCUGGCCGCUUCACUUUCCAAUUCACCUUCUACGGAUGGAGGUAUCCUUAUCUUUACAGUAGGGUCACCACCUCAUCUUCAUGGGCAGUACCUAGAACUAGAGGUCAAGCUCAAAAGGUGGAAUGCUGGAAAAUCUGGCAGCCAGUUGUCCAAUAAUGCCUGGAUGGAUCGGAUCUGAUUUACCUUCAUUGUGGAUCGUUGAGACCGGACUAGGACUUCCUGGCUUGUGUCCAUUGGAACCAACACCCAGCUGAAACACGGACAGGAUGCUCCAGAACCAAACCCCUGCAACUUGGAUGAAAUGGCAAAUCACAGCCCCGAGAUAGCUUUGCACAAAUCGCACACAGAAGCGGAGGUGGCGUUUCCCGUCAGGAACACGGCGCGUGGAUUUUGUUCAAGGAUCCCAGGACCGAAAGAGAUCACGGACAGGCCUCCCGCCUGGCACCCCGGUUCCCGAACGCCAGCGGCCAACACAAGAUGUUCCUUUGUCUUCCCCAGGGGUUAGGGUGUCAUUGUCCAGUUCCUGCUCUACCGCUGUGACCUCAGAGCCGGGCUCCCGACGCACCCUCCUCACAAUCCAAGCCGGAAGAACUGAUCCUGAAAGCUCUGCCAGCCCUAUGAUCCACUCCGCACCUCCUCCUCCUCCACGGUCCACCUCCACAGUUCAUCUCCAUCUCCUUCCAGCAGUCAGAAACCUGGCUACUUUCCAUUUAGCCUGCUGCAUCUCAUGAUGACGAUGGUAUUUGUUAAAGCUGUUCUAAGC